UACGAAGGGGGCUAGCGUUGUUCGGAAUUACUGGGCGUAAAGCGCACGUAGGCGGAUAUUUAAGUCAGGGGUGAAAUCCCGGGGCUCAACCCCGGAACUGCCUUUGAUACUGGGUAUCUCGAGUCCGAGAGAGGUGAGUGGAAUUCCGAGUGUAGAGGUGAAAUUCGUAGAUAUUCGGAGGAACACCAGUGGCGAAGGCGGCUCACUGGCCCGGUACUAGAGCGCAUGACGGUGGCGAAAGCGUGGGAGACCA
rnacentral:rRNA from 1 species